rnacentral:rRNA from 1 species
UGGGGAAUAUUGCACAAUGGGCGAAAGCCUGAUGCAGCGACGCCGCGUGCGGGAUGACGGCCUUCGGGUUGUAAACCUCUUUCAGCAGGGACGAAGCUCAAGUGACGGUACCUGCAGAAGAAGCACCGGCUAACUACGUGCCAGCAGCCGCGGUAAUACGUAGGGUGCAAGCGUUGUCCGGAAUUACUGGGCGUAAAGAGUUCGUAGGCGGUUUGUCGCGUCGUUUGUGAAGACCAGCAGCUCAACUGCUGGCUUGCAGGCGAUACGGGCAGACUGGAGUACUGGAGGGGAGACGGGAAUUCCUGGUGUAGCGGUGAAAUGCGCAGAUAUCAGGAGGAACACCGGUGGCGAAGGCGGGUCUCUGGGCAGUAACGGACGCUGAGGAACGAAAGCGUGGGUAGCGAACAGG